rnacentral:sRNA from 1 species
AAAGCAAAAGUUCCUAUACGACAUAGUCCAAAGUUACAGACCAUAAGCACA